UACGUAGGGGGCGAGCGUUGUCCGGAUUUAUUGGGCGUAAAGAGCGUGUAGGCGGUUCGGUAAGUCUGUCGUGAAAUCCUGAGGCUCAACCUUGGACGUGCGAUGGAUACUGCCGGGCUAGAGGAUGGUAGAGGCGAGUGGAAUUCUCGGUGUAGCGGUGAAAUGCGCAGAUAUCGGGAGGAACACCAGUAGCGAAGGCGGCUCGCUGGGCCAUUCCUGACGCUGAGACGCGAAAGCUGGGGGAGCGAACAGG
rnacentral:rRNA from 1 species